UCCUUGUCACGAUUAGUGGCGGGCGACGC
rnacentral:sRNA from 1 species